AGUAACCCCGCCUCGAAUACGUAAUCUAGCAUGUUCCCCGAAACGUCUUCUUCCUCCUCUCCGUCGCCGUCGCCGGCCUCCAAUGGCCAUGGCGCUUUCCUCUCUCCUCCGGGAACCGGCCCUAAAAUCAAUGGGCAAUGGUCUGGGAAACCAUGGUAGGUAGGCCUCCUGCCGGCGACCCUGCCCCUCUUCGCCGCCAGCUCUCCAGAUCCACACAAGGGUCAUAUCACUCCAGCUCGAAUGUCAACAAGACUCCAUGCUCUUCUACAUGCUUACCGGCAAACAGGAGGCACGCAUCUCUGCCGCCGCAGCUCUUAUCAACGCCCGCUUUUGGAGGCAGUGUCUUUGAGCCUCAGCACAGAUACCAAGCACUCCCGCAUUCUAUCUUUAUGAAUGUAGUAUCUAGGAGAGAGUCUUGUUGAUGGCUUUGACAAAGAUAUCCAGUGACAGUAACCAGUCCAGACACACUUGCCUUGGUGAUAUGAAUAUGAGAUCUACGCAAUACAAUGCAAUUUAGUUAGCUUCUUUGUUGACUUGUGUGAGGAUCCGAGGUGGGCAUAUAACCAUGCCGGCUCAAGUCCUACCAAAUUGCAUCUGCAUUUUCAAGCCUCCCUUUCUUUUUAUUGUUGAUAGGCCUUGGCUUGGUUCUUAGCCUUCUUGUUAAUGUUUACUACUCCCUCUGUAAAGAAAUAUAAGAGCAUUUAGAUCACUACUCUAGUGAUCUAAACGCUCUUAUAUUUCUUUACGGAGGGAGUACUGAUUAAUGAAGGAAGGAAGCUUGUUCACAAAAAAUUAUAUAUCUCUGUUUAUUUUAGUGUUCUUGACCUGAUCCGAUGAAUUUUUUUUUUAGCUACAUAAACAAAUAAAAUCGGAUUGUUUUUCUUAGAAAAGAGAAUAAGAAGAAAAAAGAGGAACUUCUGAAACCCUCUAGAACUGUAGGGUAAUGUUGCCUGCAUGCCCACAGUUUUGAGAAUAGAAAAACAAUUACACUGCUCCCUUUCUGGACCUCUACAGAACAAGCUCUAGUGCUACGGUUGCAAAACACAAUGGCUCUGCAUUUAUUUGAUACAGUUGUAAAGCAUCAUCGCUCUAAGAACAAUUACUAACUGAAACGUUACAUACAUUUUUUUAUCAUGCAGGAUCAUACAUUAUACUAGCUUGUUUAUUCAAGGCUAUUCUUGAUUUCUCGAGUCGAGGCAUCUUUUUCUGCUCCAUGCCCCCCUAUAAAUUUGAGCCACAUUGUUGGGUCAGCUAUCUCCAAGGUUCUAUCUGGAAGAGCAUCCUCAGCAAACUUAUGCAGAUCCAAUGAAUCACUGAAUGUGCCUUCUGUUGGGCUCCUUCCGGUAAACAUCUCAAGCAGCAAUAUGCCAAGGCUAUAAAUAUCACCAGCUGUUGAGGCCGCAGAGCCUUCUCCAUACUCUACAAUCAUGCAAAGCUUUCUGGUUAGCAUGCCAUAUUCAAGUGAAAAGGAAAAUAUAAAUUAGAAUAGUUUCGGUCACCUGGAGCAACAUAGCCUAUGGAACCUCUAAUUCCAGUUGAGCCAUAUGAAGUUUGCAUCCCCUCGCUGGUAUUUUCUUGAAGGAUCCUUGAUAUGCCAAAGUCUCCAACUCGUGCACUCAUGUCUCCAGCAAGAAGAAUGUUGCUUGGCUUAAGAUUGCAAUGGAUUACCAAUGGUUGACAGUAGUUGUGCAGAUAUUCUAUUGCGUCCACAAUAUCAAGCCUCUGGGCAAGGCUAAGCGUGUUGUUUGUGGUGGGUUCUUGAGAUUUUGGAUGAAGCCAACCAUCCAAGUUACCAUUGGGCAUGAACUCAAAAACCAAUGCCUUGAACUCUUGACCUUGGUGGUUGACGCUCGAACAAGAAGUAAUGAUCUUAAUCAGACAACGGUGUCGUAUCCUUCUCAUGGCCUCACAUUCAACCUCAAAACUCUUGGCAUACCUAGAUUGACCAAGAUUAAAUACCUUGACAGCCAAUGUUCUAUCUUCAGUGUCCAAAACACACUUAUAAACCGCACCAUAACUUCCUCUCCCAAGCAAGUUGGCUAUUGAAAAUUCAUUAGUCUCCCUCAGUAAUGCAUGAUAUGGGAUUCUCUUGUAAUGGUCAUCAACAAUUGAAUUGUGUGCUAAUGUCUUCUGGCUUGGUUUGACCUUCUUGCAAAAUAUCCAAAGAAGAAGAAUAACUAGAAGUGACAGCAAGAUUGCUCCGGCUGUUGCUAGAGAAAUUACAAGAGACUUUGGCAUCAUUUUUCUGUUCUUGCUUGAGGGGCUUGUGGGGCAUGGAGCCAAGUGAAGUUGAGGUGUACCACCACACAGAUUAAUAUUCCCAGCAACUGCUAAGUAAGUGAUGUUUCUGAAAACACCUUCAUCUGGCACCUCACCUUGCAAAUUAUUGAAGGAUAUAUCCAGUACAGACAAUGAUGUCAAAUUCUGUAGAACUGAUGGGAUUGACCCUGAUAAGCUGUUGUGUGCUAUGUAUAGUUCUUCCAGGCUUCCAAUAUGGCCAAGAGCAUCAGGAAUAUUACGGUAUUACCAGAGAGCUUAUUCAUGGUCAGGUUCAAUACUCUGAGCCCCUUUAUAUUUCUCAGUGACCGAGGUAUCUUGCCAAACAACCGGUUUCCUGAUAGAGUCAGUCGGUUAAGAUCUGUCAAACGACCAACUUCAUUAGGAAGGGGACCAGAAAGGGAAUUGUGUGACAAGUCCAAAUACCAAGCAAGGCCGGGUAAUUUAAAAAUCUCUGUGGGUAUGGAACCGUUAAGGUGGUAAUUCUUUGACAAAUCAAGAACAAAGAGGUUUUUCAACUUUCCCAGGCUUGCCGGAAUUGGCCCCUCCAAGUUGCCAUAAUAUGCAUAAAGCCUAUUUAACUGUGAAAGGUUUCCUAGCGAUGAUGGUAUGAGCCCAGACAAGCUAUUGUUGUACAAGCCUAGAUCGACUAAGUUCUUUAGCUUACCGAUGGUCUCUGGAAUCACUCCGGUUAUCAAAGUAUUUGCUAUCCCAAGUACUUCCAGACCAACCAGAUUGCCAAUGUCUGCAGGGAUACUCCCAAAGAUCCUAUUGUUCAUUACCUGCAAGAACCGGAGGGUCGUUGAGAGGUUCACAAUUGGACCAGGUAGUUGUCCUCCAAAAGAAUUGAUGCUGAGUUCCAACGUCUUCAGUUUGCCGCAGUUUGCCAAAGAAGUGAUGAAUUCCCACCCAUCAUUGUCAUCCGCUUCAAGCUUAUUGUCAGCAAAGUACAAUGUCUGGAGAGCUCCCAGCUUCCCCAAUGUGGGAGGCACGUACCCACUAAAUCCAUUAUGGUUGAGGCCAAUCGUUUUAAGGGAAGAUAUGUUGGAUACUGAGGAAGGGAUGGUUCCUGUGAAUUGAUUAUGACCCAAGCCAAGAUAGUACAACUUGGGGAACUUGCUACCGAUAUCAUCGGGAAUGUUUCCGUGCAACUUAUUAUACCCUACUUCAAAUGCUCCCAUCAACGACCAAUUGUAGAGAGAAGGUGGAAGCACACCGGAGAGGUUGUUUCCAAAGAGAUUGAAAAAACGCAUGCUCUGGAUGCUGCCAAGCCCUGGUGGAAUCGAGCCAACGAGCUGGUUAUUGGAGAGGUCCAGGACUUGUAGACGGGACAAAUUGGCUAGUGACGCUGGGAUGGGCCCUGUGAAGCUGUUGUUUCUCAGCGAGAUCGCUACCAGGGAUGUGAGCUUCUCACCGAGCUCAGCCGGGAUGCGCCCGCUAAGCUUGGUGUUGUACAGUCCCAUAUUGGUCAUGCUGGUGCAGGAGCUCAGGUUCACUGGUAAUGUGCCGGAGAAGGAGUUUUCUCCCAAGUAGAGCUCCUGCAGGCGGCGGAGGCAGCCGAGGCUCGCCGGAAUGCCCCCAUGGAGCGAGUUGGUGCCCAGGUCGAGGGUCCGCAGGAACGUGAGGUUGCCGAUGGCCGGGGAGAGUGGCCCAGCGAGCCCGGUGGCGUUCAAUCUCAGCGCCACCACCCGCGCUGGCCUCCGGUGGCUGCACGUCACGCCUUUCCAGCUGCAGAAGCCGGCGCUGCUGUUCCAAGAGGCCAGCAAGCCACCAUUGCUGAGGUGCGCUUUGAAAGCAAGCAGCGCGGCCUCAUCGCCAGCGGACGCCGUCAUGGCGAUCGACAGGACGGCCAGGAAUGAGCAUAGCAAACUCAUGACUCCGAGUGCCAUUGCUUGGUUUGCUUGGCUCUGCUCUGUAUAUGCUUCGGGGCUCGCUUGAUUGCUAAUAUUCAAGAUGUACAGCAAGUUGCUCUCAUUUCUCAGCUAACAGUAAUUAAUGUAGAGUUUGUCUUGUCUUGACGACUUGGGAGACCUCAAACCUGUCUUUAGAUGCGUCAGCUAAAUAGAUGAAUUAAUAAUGUGGCAAGUUGGUGAGCAAGACAUGUCAAUCGUCUCAACUCUAUAUAUUAUGUUAGUAAUCAAGAGUGAUGCUGUCUUUGUUUAA